AGGGGCAUUUGGAGAACAAGUGUGACCUCCUGGGGCCCACCCCUGCCAUGAGUUCUUCCCUAGAGAGCCGGUGAACUGGGCUGACACUUAAAAAGGCAAAUAAGUGGCAAAGACUUCAGGCUUUUAAUGAAGCUCUAAGUGAGAAUAGCAGAGAUAGCUAGGGAUCAGCUGAAGGAUCUUUCUGUACGCCGCCUUGAAGUUAACGGUCCAGUCAAACCUGAUUGUAGAUGCCCACGGUUUGUGGAAAUAUGUGUAGUUGUGAGUGACCUUUUAAACUACAAACUUUCCAAUUUUUAAAAAAAUUGUUUUGAGAACCUCCUCGUCUAUCUUGAAACACCAGCGCCGCCAAGAUGCCGGCUUACCACUCUUCUCUCAUGGACCCUGACACCAAACUCAUUGGAAACAUGGCACUGUUGCCUAUCAGAAGUCAGUUCAAAGGACCUGCCCCUAGAGAGACAAAAGAUACAGAUAUUGUGGAUGAAGCCAUCUAUUAUUUUAAGGCCAAUGUCUUCUUCAAAAACUAUGAGAUUAAGAAUGAAGCUGAUAGAACCUUGAUAUAUAUAACUCUCUACAUUUCUGAGUGUCUAAAGAAACUCCAGAAGUGCAAUUCCAAAAGCCAAGGUGAAAAAGAAAUGUAUACGCUGGGAAUCACUAAUUUUCCCAUUCCUGGAGAGCCUGGUUUUCCACUUAAUGCAAUUUAUGCCAAACCUGCAAACAAACAGGAAGAUGAAAUGAUGAGGGCCUACUUACAGCAGCUGAGACAAGAGACUGGACUGAGACUUUUUGAGAAAGUUUUUGACCCUCAGAAUGAUAAACCUAGCAAGUGGUGGACUUGCUUUGUGAAGAGGCAGUUCAUGAACAAGUCUUUCAGGACCUGGACAGUGAAAGGAGCCUGAGCAG